rnacentral:lncRNA from 1 species
AUCUUUAUAUUACUAUGAAGAAAGCAGAGGCUCAACAACAUGAAGUGGUUUUCCUAGGUCAUCCACUCAGGCCAAGGUCGGAGCCAAGAUUCAAAGUGAGGCCCAAUGCAAAAUCUAGCCUUUACUCUGCUACAUUUGUGGACACACAUGCAUAGAGUCAUUCAAACAUGUAAGUCUAAUAACUUUCUCAUUGCUUUCCAAAAAAGUUUUACAGUAUUUGUUCAACCUACUUCACAGGUAAGGGUGAAGAGCAGAAAGAAGAAUAUGGCACCAGGGAAUCUGAACUUUGAUCCUUAUAGAGGAAAUUGUGAGGGAGGAAGAGCACUGGGUUGGCCAGAAAAGGACUUUGGUGUAAAUCACAAAGCAAGGAAAGAAUCCUGGACAACUCCAAGGGACUCAUGAUGAAAAGGAUACCGACCACCAUAGAAGGGACAGAUGGAGUCCAAGUGUACAUAUGUACAUCCUAUAUUAUAUUAUCUGCUUUGUUGGUUAAGGGGGCAGGGUAGAAGCCAAUAAAAUAAAAAGAAUGAAAUUUUGGAA